CGGGAGUCAGACUGCGAGUGAUAAGAUCCGUAGUCGAAAGGGAAACAGCCCAGACCACCAGUUAAGGUCCCCAAAUAUAUGUUAAGUGGAAAAGGAUGUGGGGUUGCUUAGACAACCAGGAUGUUGGCUUAGAAGCAGCCACCAUUGAAAGAGUGCGUAAUAGCUCACUGGUCGAGUGACCCCGCGCCGAAAAUGUACCGGGGCUAAACAUAUUACCGAAACUGUGGAUGAACCUCUUUAGAGGUUCGUGGUAGGAGAGCGUUCUAAGGGCGGUGAAGUCAGACCGGAAGGACUGGUGGAGCGCUUAGAAGUGAGAAUGCCGGUAUGAGUAGCGAAAGAAGGGUGAGAAUCCCUUCCACCGAAUAUCUAAGGUUUCCUGAGGAAGGCUCGUCCGCUCAGGGUUAGUCGGGACCUAAGCCGAGGCCGAUAGGCGUAGGCGAUGGACAACAGGUAGAGAUUCCUGUACCAGUGCUAAUUGUUUAACCGAUGGGGUGACACAGAAGGAUAGGGAAUCGCACGAAUGGAAAUGUGCGUCCAAGCAGUGAGUGUGAGAAGUAGGCAAAUCCGCUUCUCGCGAAGCAUGAGCUGUGAUGGGGAAGGAAAUUAAGUACGGAAGUUCCUGAUUUCACGCUGUCAAGAAAAGCCUCUAGGAAGAGUAGUACUGCCCGUACCGCAAACCGACACAGGUAGAUGAGGAGAGAAUCCUAAGGUGAGCGAGAGAACUCUCGUUAAGGAACUCGGCAAAAUGACCCCGUAACUUCGGGAGAAGGGGUGCUCUAUUAGGGUGCAAGCCCGAGAGAGCCGCAGUGAAUAGGCCCAGGCGACUGUUUAGCAAAAACACAGGUCUCUGCAAAACCGUAAGGUGACGUAUAGGGGCUGACGCCUGCCCGGUGCUGGAAGGUUAAGAGGAGUGCUUAGCUUCGGCGAAGGUACGAAUUGAAGCCCCAGUAAACGGCGGCCGUAACUAUAACGGUCCUAAGGUAGCGAAAUUCCUUGUCGGGUAAGUUCCGACCCGCACGAAAGGCGCAACGAUCUGGGCACUGUCUCAACGAGAGACUCGGUGAAAUUAUAGUACCUGUGAAGAUGCAGGUUACCCGCGACAGGACGGAAAGACCCCGUGGAGCUUUACUGCAACCUGAUAUGGAAUGUUUGUACCGCUUGUACAGGAUAGGUAGGAGCCGAAGAGACGUGUGCGCUAGCAUACGAGGAGGCAAUGGUGGGAUACUACCCUGGCUGUAUGACCAUUCUAACCCGCCACGCUUAGCGCGUGGGGAGACAGUGUCAGGUGGGCAGUUUGACUGGGGCGGUCGCCUCCUAAAGAGUAACGGAGGCGCCCAAAGGUUCCCUCAGAAUGGAUGGAAAUCAUUCGCAGAGUGUAAAGGCACAAGGGAGCUUGACUGCGAGACUGACAAGUCGAGCAGGGACGAAAGUCGGGCUUAGUGAUCCGGUGGUUCCGCAUGGAAGGGCCAUCGCUCAACGGAUAAAAGCUACCCCGGGGAUAACAGGCUUAUCUCCCCCAAGAGUCCACAUCGACGGGGAGGUUUGGCACCUCGAUGUCGGCUCGUCGCAUCCUGGGGCUGUAGUCGGUCCCAAGGGUUGGGCUGUUCGCCCAUUAAAGCGGCACGCGAGCUGGGUUCAGAACGUCGUGAGACAGUUCGGUCCCUAUCCGUCGCGGGCGCAGGAAAUUUGAGAGGAGCUGUCCUUAGUACGAGAGGACCGGGAUGGACACACCGCUGGUGUACCAGUUGUUCCGCCAGGAGCAUCGCUGGGUAGCUAUGUGUGGCAGGGAUAAACGCUGAAAGCAUCUAAGCGUGAAGCCCCCCUCAAGAUGAGAUUUCCCAUUUCUUCGGAAAGUAAGAUCCCUGAAAGAUGAUCAGGUAGAUAGGUUUGGAGUGGAAGUGUAGCGAUACAUGGAGCGGACAAAUACUAAUCGAUCGAGGACUUAACCAAAA
rnacentral:rRNA from 1 species